AUACGGGGGGUGCAAGCGUUAUUCGGAUUUAUUGGGCGUAAAGAGCGCGUAGGCGGCUUGGUAAGUCAGAUGUGAAAGCCCGGGGCUCAACCCCGGAAGUGCAUUUGAAACUAGCAGGCUUGAGUAUGGGAGAGGGAAGUGGAAUUCCUGGUGUAGAGGUGAAAUUCGUAGAUAUCAGGAGGAACACCGGUGGCGAAGGCGACUUCCUGGACCAAUACUGACGCUGAGGCGCGAAGGCGUGGGGAGCAAACAGGAUUAGAAACCCCAGUAGUCC
rnacentral:rRNA from 1 species